CUCGACAUAGCUCAGCCCGGUAGAGCGACAGACUGUAGUCAUCUGUUGGUCCUUGGUUCGAAUCCGAGUGUCGAGA
rnacentral:tRNA from 1 species